rnacentral:rRNA from 1 species
GUCUAAGUAUAAGCAACUAUACGGUGAAACUGCGAAUGGCUCAUUAAAUCAGUUAUCGUUUAUUUGAUAGUACCUUACUACAUGGAUAACCGUGGUAAUUCUAGAGCUAAUACAUGCUAAAAACCCCGACUUCGGAAGGGGUGUAUUUAUUAGAUAAAAAACCAAUGCCCUUCGGGGCUCCCUGGUGAUUCAUAAUAACUCAACGAAUCGCAUGGCCUUGCGCCGGCGAUGGUUCAUUCAAAUUUCUGCCCUAUCAACUUUCGAUGGUAGGAUAGUGGCCUACCAUGGUAUCAACGGGUAACGGGGAAUUAGGGUUCGACUCCGGAGAGGGAGCCUGAGAAACGGCUACCACAUCCAAGGAAGGCAGCAGGCGCGCAAAUUACCCAAUCCCGACACGGGGAGGUAGUGACAAUAAAUACUGAUACAGGGCUCUUUUGGGUCUUGUAAUUGGAAUGAGUACAAUCUAAAUCCCUAACGAGGAACAAUUGGACG